CUACGGGAGGCAGCAGCAAGGAAUUUUCGGCAAUGGGCGCAAGCCUGACCGAGCGACGCCGCGUGGAGGAUGAAGGCUUUCGGGUUGUAAACUCCUGUUGGGGGGGACCAAAUCAAUGAGAGAACCCCUGAGGAAGCACGGGCUAAGUUCGUGCCAGCAGCCGCGGUAAGACGAACCGUGCGAACGUUAUUCGGAUUCAUUGGGCUUAAAGAGCACGUAGGCGGCGACAUAAGUCGGAGGUGAAAUACUGUCGGCUCAACCGCGGAAUUGCCUUUGAUACUGUGUUGCUUGAGGAGUUUAGGGGCGAGUGGAACUUCCGGUGGAGCGGUGAAAUGUGUUGAGAUCGGAAGGAACGCCAGUGGCGAAAGCGACUCGCUGGGAACUAUCUGACGCUGAGGUGCGAAAGCCAGGGGAGCAAACGGGAUUAGAUACCCUAGUAGUCC
rnacentral:rRNA from 1 species